UAUAUUAUAUUAAAAUAUCUUUUACUUAACAUAUAAGUAUAAAUAUAUAUUAUAUUAUAUUAUAUUAUAUUAUAUUAUGCUAUAUUAUAUAUAAUAAAACAAAUAAAGAAAGAAUAAAUAAAUAGAAAAAGAAAGCUAAAGCAGAAACGAAACAGAGAAGGAAAGAAAGAAAAGAAAAAAGAAAGAAAGGAGAAAAAGCUAGGAUUUUCAAGGGUUCCAAGCUCAAUUGGUAAGUCAAUUUAGUCCCCUUUUCUUAUAAUUUUUAUGUUUUUGGAAUUAUGCCAUUGCUCAUAAAUGAGGCGGCAUAAGGAAGAUUUUUUUUGAAUUUAAUAUAUAUUAUAUUAAAAUAUCUUUUACUUAACAUAUAAGUAUAAAUAUAUAUUAUAUAUUAUAUUAUAUUAUAUUAUAUUAUAUUAUAUUAUAUUAUAUAUAAUAAAACAAAUAAAGAAAGAAUAAAUAAAUAGAAAAAGAAAGCUAAAGCAGAAACGAAAUAGAGAAGGAAAGAAAGAAAAGAAAAAAGAAAGAAAGGAGAAAAAGCUAGGAUUUUCAAGGGUUCCAAGCUCAAUUGGCUGAGUCGGAUAUAGUUGGCAUGCCAUAGGAUUGGAAGAGUUCAGGGAUACUUCGACCACGAGUCAAUGAGACACUGGGUGUCAUAUUAUUACUUCGGAUAAAUUCGAUGAGGUACUGGGUACUAACUUACUUCGGCAUGGCCGAUGAGACACUGGUGUCACUUUAUUACUUAAAAUUACCUGAUGAGGCACUGUGUGCCAUACUAGUGUGUUUUGGUUGGAUCUGUGUAUCCGUCCGAGUCCGAGUCACGUUAAUAAGGGUAAAUAAAUAAAUUGAAUUGAUACAUGAAAAUGAAAUGUAUGAACCAUGUGUUCAUGGACUGGUUAGUGAAUGAGACAGUGCUAUGAUUAAAA